AUGCCGGCGAGUGGCGAACGGGUGAGUAAUGCAUCGGAACGUACCCAGUAGUGGGGGAUAACUUACCGAAAGGUAAGCUAAUACCGCAUACGCACUGAGGUGGAAAGCAGGGGACCGCAAGGCCUUGCGCUAUUGGAGCGGCCGAUGUCGGAUUAGCUAGUUGGUGGGGUAAAGGCCUACCAAGGCGACGAUCCGUAGCGGGUCUGAGAGGAUGAUCCGCCACACUGGAACUGAGACACGGUCCAGACUCCUACGGGAGGCAGCAGUGGGGAAUUUUGGACAAUGGGCGCAAGCCUGAUCCAGCCAUGCCGCGUGAGUGAAGAAGGCCUUCGGGUUGUAAAGCUCUUUCGGCCGGGAAGAAAUCGUGGUGGCUAAUACCUGCCAUGGAUGACGGUACCGGACUAAGAAGCACCGGCUAACUACGUGCCAGCAGCCGCGGUAGUACGUAGGGUGCGAGCGUUAAUCGGAAUUACUGGGCGUAAAGCGUGCGCAGGCGGUUGUGUAAGACAGGCGUGAAAUCCCCGGGCUCAACCUGGGAACUGCGCUUGUGACUGCACGGCUAGAGUACGGCAGAGGGGGGUGGAAUUCCACGUGUAGCAGUGAAAUGCGUAGAGAUGUGGAGGAACACCGAUGGCGAAGGCAGCCCCCUGGGUCGAUACUGACGCUCAUGCACGAAAGCGUGGGGAGCAAACAGGAUUAGAUACCCUGGUAGUCCACGCCCUAAACGAUGUCGACUAGUUGUUGGAGGGGUAAAACCCUUUAGUAACGUAGCUAACGCGUGAAGUCGACCGCCUGGGGAG
rnacentral:rRNA from 1 species